GCCUAGCCGUAAACUUUAAAUUACACCCACAUCGCCUGAGAACUACGAGCAAAGCUUAAAACUCAAAGGACUUGACGGUACCCCAUAUCCCCCUAGAGGAGCCUGUCCUAUAAUCGAUAACCCCCGUUUAACCUCACCAUUUUUAGCCAAUCAGCCUGUAUACCUCCGUCGUCAGCUUACCACGUGAGCGAAACUCAGUGAGCUUAAUGCCUUUACACCAAUACGUCAGGUCAAGGUGCAGCAAAUGAAAUGGAAAGAGAUGGGCUACACUUUCUAGUAUAGAAAACACGGAAGACUUUAUGAAAUCUAGUCGGAAGGCGGAUUUAGCAGUAAAAAAAAAUCAGAAUA
rnacentral:rRNA from 1 species